UACAGAGGUCCCAAGCGUUGUUCGGAUUUACUGGGCGUAAAGGGAGCGUAGGUGGCAUUCUAAGUCUGAUGUGAAAGCUCUGAGCUUAACUCAGAAAUGGCAUUAGAAACUAGUUUGCUAGAGGAUUGGAGGGGAGAUUGGAAUACUUGGUGUAGCAGUGAAAUGCGUAGAUAUCAAGUGGAACACCAGUGGCGAAGGCGAAUCUCUGGACAAUUCCUGACACUGAUGCUCGAAAGCUAGGGGAGCAAACGGG
rnacentral:rRNA from 1 species